UACGUAGGGUGCAAGCGUUGUCCGGAAUUAUUGGGCGUAAAGAGCUCGUAGGCGGUCUGUUGCGUCGGCUGUGAAAACCCGGGGCUCAACUCCGGGCCUGCAGCCGAUACGGGCAGACUAGAGUUCGGCAGGGGAGACUGGAAUUCCUGGUGUAGCGGUGAAAUGCGCAGAUAUCAGGAGGAACACCGGUGGCGAAGGCGGGUCUCUGGGCAGUAACUGACGCUGAGGAGCGAAAGCGUGGGGAGCGAACAGG
rnacentral:rRNA from 1 species